rnacentral:tRNA from 1 species
UAAUAAGAAGCAAAAUUUUGCAUUUAGUUUCGACCUAAAAGUUAGGUAAUAAUUACCCUUAUUUU